rnacentral:tRNA from 1 species
GCGGGUGUAGCUCAAUGGCUAGAGCAUCAGCCUUCCAAGCUGAAUGUUAGGGGUUCGAGUCCCCUCACCCGCU